rnacentral:rRNA from 1 species
GUGUCAGCCGCCGCGGUAACACGUAGGGUGCAAGCGUUAUCCGGAUUCACUGGGUUUAAAGGGUGCGUAGGUGGGCUAGUAAGUCAGUGGUGAAAUCUCCGGGCUUAACCCGGAAACUGCCAUUGAUACUAUUAGUCUUGAAUGUUGUGGAGGUAAGCGGAAUAUGUCAUGUAGCGGUGAAAUGCUUAGAUAUGACAUAGAACACCAAUUGCGAAGGCAGCUGGCUACACAAAUAUUGACACUCAGGCACGAAAGCGUGGGGAGCAAACAGGAUUAGAUACCCUCGUAGUCC